UCAAAGUGUAGGAAUCAAAAAGAGGCCAAACACUCCAAUACAUGGAGUGUGCGGCCACACACAUGUGUUUGCAGCCUCACACCCUUCCCAACCGCACACUCCACCUAUAUAUACCAUACUUAGUCAUUUUUGAACACUUCUUUCACUUCUUCAAACAUAGAACUCGAAAAUCCUCUCAAGUAUCAUCCAUUCUCCUUGAAGAUCUUCAUAAAAGGUACCAAGAACACCAAGAACACCAUGUGGCCGCACACAUGGCAGCACACACCAUCUGGCAGCGCACAUGGCCGCACACAGGUGUUGGCAGUACACUAGGCCGCACACCUGGCCGCACACACACAUAUAGUGUGUAUUUUGGCCAUACACCCUCUUGUAUAGCUUUAUAAACCCUCAUACAAUCAUAUAUGAUUGUAACACUUCAUUAUAAGUGUUUACUAGUCCCUAAGGUGGUCCCAAAAUCAUUAUUCAGUCGUUCAUAACACUAAUUAUAUUCAUAUAUAUGCCAAUAUAUGCUAAAUAGGAUUCGCGUGUGUACUCAAGCCACCACUUGAUACUUAGCAACUGAUCCAACAUUUUCAUCAGAACCACUCACUACAGGUGAGUUCAUACCCCUUAAUCAAUGUUUUAAACUGUUUUUAAAUGUUUUAUGGGGGGGGGAUACAAGUAGAAUUAUGCUAAUUAUUAUAUCAAUCACAUGUGAUUAAUAAGCAGCAUUCAAAUGAUUGGCUACUCAUUAGCCGUUUUACCAAACAGUUUCCUUCAAAUGAUUUUUAUAAACAUUUUAUAUGUUUAAAACUCCUUAUUACACUGUACAUUUUACUCUGUAUAUUACAUUUCAAACUUAUUUACAAUUGUGUUUCAAACAAAUGUUUCUUUAUACUAAACUGUUUUAUCAAACCCAUGCCUUCAAAACCGUUUUAUAGAUCGACAUCAAGUCGAUCUUUUCUUAGAAAAUAUUUAUGUUCAAAGGUUUUACAAAUCUUAUUUUAUGCUUUUAUAUUAUAAAUUGCAUGCCUCUAUAUGUAUAGUUAUAUAAGAAAUGUUUAAAAGACUUAGGAAGGCUAUCCACCCUAUUUCCUUUUCGCGCUUGAGAUGUGGUCUGGUGGGAUAUCGGGUACUCGUCCGAAGGUCGUUUAAAUAUUAGUUAUAUAACAUAUGUACAUAUAUAGUCAUAAAGGCCCUUCCAGUUCAUCCCAUGCCCUUGGGUAGCAAGGGUAUACAUCCAUGUCCAUACGUACCAGUUAGAUUACUAGUAAACUACCAUAUGGGUAGUUUAGGAAGAUACUAGAACUAUUACUAGAACACAAUAUCAUACUAUGAGUCAGUUCAUUCAUGAGUCAACACUUACUACUAGGAGAACAUAUACAACUAUACUAGAGAAGAAUAUAUACAACUAUACUAGAGAAGAACAUAUACAACUAUACAAGGAAGAACAUAUACAACGAUACUAGAACGAGUACAUUACUAUAAUUACUAGGUAGAGAGCACGUACAUUACAGCUAGAACAGUUCAUUACAUUACAUAUACAUGAAUACGUUAAUAAUUGUGAUCCACUGUAUCGGAGCAUGCCUUAAAUGUCAUGGCCCGAGUUGUUGCCAGAAUUCUCUUGGAGGGAGAGCGUGAGUUUGCGUAUAGAUCUAUACUGGAUUGACUAUCCUACACCUUGCUGCUAGCUACAGCCGGACCUGCAGGUCUGCAGGUGCCAAACAUCAUUCCGUGUUACGACCAUGCAGGUGCCAAACAUCAUUCCGUGUUACGACCAUUCAUUAUGUCGUUGUUACCAGUCGAUAGUAUGGUGCAAUUAAAUCACAUAAUACCUUAGUAUAAAUCCGGUUUAAGGUAGUUAGUAUAGCAGUAGUUCUUAUAGCGCUACGUUUUAGUACUACAUUAAUUUUCCCUGUACAUAUUUUUAGUGAUCUUUUCACUUAAACUAUAAAUGUAAAAACUAUAUUUUUAUAAUGAUAGUUACACUUGGGAAAAUUACACACUUUUACAAGAAACGAACAUAUAGAACAGUUAAGUCUUGGUAGAAGACUACAUUGAGAACAGUUAAGUCUUUGUAGAAGACACCUUUAUAUAAAGUAGGAAUCAUAGGGAUUUCUUGGUUUUUCAAACAUUUGCAGUUCAUUUACAAACAAUUUCAUACUUAUAGUUCAUUUACAAACAUUUUCAUACUUAUAGUUCAUUUACAAACAUUUUCAUACUUACAGUUCAUUUACAAACAUUUUCAUACUUACAGUUCAUUUACAAACUUUUUCAUACUUACAGUUCAUUUACAAACAUUUUCAUACUUACAGAUAUACAUUUUCAAUUCUUACAAAUUCUUACAUACAAAUUAAGACACGAAAUACUUAUGAUCUCACCAGCUUCAAAGUUGAUAGUCGCUUUCAAAAUUACUUGUAUCCUCAGGUCAUCAUAGAUAGGUACAGAUGCAAGGAUUCAGGAAGAUGGAGCUCGUUGAAGACUCAUAUUUCAUUUUGAUUUAUGCUUUAGUGUUUAUCAAAAUUUGACAGAACACAUUUGUAUAAUAAUUAUAUUAUUAAUGCAAUGGAUGAUGUUGUUGCUUGUUUACUACUUUACAUUGUUGUGAUACUGUACAUGACGUCCUCCGCCCCAGAACGUUUCCGCCGUUCUUGGUUUUAGGGUGUGACAGAUUGGUAUCAGAGCAUUGUUUAUAGUGAAUUAAGUAUAUCAACCCAUAAAAGAUAUACUAACUAUAAAUACAUAAAGGAUUAAAAAUACUCUGACCAGAAGUUUAUACAUUAAAUAAUAAAAUAUUUAAUAAAGUAUACGUGCCUGCAUUCAUACAAAAAUCAGUGUCACUAGGACAGCACAAAAGAAUUACGAUUGUUGGGCAACACAAGUGGGCUUAGAGACAUAUGGUCAAAACUGGGAAGAUAUAGCCUGAUCACCUAUAUUAUCCGAGGGUUGACUAGCAUGUGCCUAAGUUUAAUUGUGUGGUUGCAACAAUGCUAAAAUCUUACCAACCCUACCACAAUGAGAACAAUAGAACAUAACAUUAAAAUUUAAAAUACUAUAGGAGUAUUUGGUGUUACUAUAAGUACGUUAUACUUGAGAACUAAAACGGGAUCUUCAUUACUAAGUUGAUAGUUGCUAAGUGGAUACACUAAGGCUAUAUGUAAUUAGGAUGUUAUAGACAUAAAAUCUGUGUAAAUUUUACUUCACCCCUAUUCUGUGUGAAUUUGGAGUUAAGAUCACUUAUUCGAAGGCCUAUCCUGUUUAGAUUACACAUAGCUGGUAUGCACUUCACAAAUAGCGAUGUAACUAAUAAAGGUUUUCUAAAUAAUUAUCUAGAUAGUUCGUCUAAUAAUUAUUUCUUACCCUAAUUCUCGCAUAGAUAACAUGGCUGGACUCCAUCCCCAUGACAACCAGUACCUCUCGAAUGAGGUCAUUGCUGGAUGGUUUGAAGAAGAACCAGAGAAUGAUCAUCCUAUCCAUUUGAAUGAUCACCAUGAUGAAAACCUUUCGGACGAUGCUAACUCUGAACCAGAGGUUGAGAACCUACCCCAGGCAGCUCCCUUUUAAAUUCCUAACCCUCGUCCGGCUUUUCAUGGCCCGACGCCUGAGUGGGUGGAAUGCUUGGAAAGAUGGAGCCAAGGACAAGAUCAACCCAUGCCAAUUAAUGGCGACCGAAGCUUUUACGACCUGAGCAAUGGGGGGCUCAGCAGUCAGAACCUUGCCAAUCUUGGUCCGCAAGGUGGCCCGAAAUGAAAUUCAAGGCAGGACAAACCUACAUCAGAUUACCGAAGUUGUCGCUAAUGCGAGAAUGCAUACCCUCCGCACCAUUCGUCUAGAAGAUGCUCGCGAGAGAUCAGAGAGAAACCAUGAAACCCUGCUGCAAGCACUGGCUGGAUCACGAGCCGAAGUCAUAGAGCUCCGAGUACACCAAUGGGUGUACGAAAGACACCUACUUGACAUAAAUGUCAACUGGCUGAACUAAGAGUUCACCAGAGGGGUGACCGUCGUCAAUAGUAGAUUCUUUACCUUACUUCCCUUGUUAGAAAGUAAUUGUUUUCUGUCUUUACCCGAUGUGGAAUUUUAUAUGAAAUUACCUUGUACUGUAAGUACUUUAGGUUAGGUCCUUAUGCUGUCAAGAAUUAUCUUCUCUGGAUAGGAUGUAAGACCUUUACAAGGUCAUUUUUCCUGAAUCUUUACGUUGGGAAUAUCAAAGAUAUUGACAGCCGACGAACUUCUGUGUCAUUCUUCAUUCAAGUACUUUUAUCAUUCUUUCGUUGGAGUCUAUCUAAAUCAUGCUUUAGUCAAGUCAUUGGACUAUAGUAAUUUAGCUCCAGAGACAUUUCCAAGUCUCUUUUAGUGGUUGGAUCAUGUUAUUCGCCAACCAUCGAUACCUCGGCUUGAACGACAAACGUCUUGAGACCAUCCUACAAACUCACUUCCAUUCUGUACUAGGACUGCAUCAUAGGGAUGUAGGUCAAACUGUCGAGAACAUACUCUUACUCCUUACUUGAACGAUCUAAGUACAUCUAGGUUCAACCAUGCUCGGUCACAAAUUCAUUUUCUUUCCAUGAAACAGAAUCAUGUCGCCCAAGAAAAACGAUCAACCCCUCAACCAAACACCAACUCUUCAGAUUGAUGCAGCUACUCUUCAAGCUGCAGUCUCGGCUGCCAUGUCAGCUAUUCUGACCCACUUUAACGCUAACAAUGUGAAUGUUAGUGGGAUUGUUAACAACAAUUCCAAUCCGAGUAACAAUCAAACACCGCAAUGAGCAGCAAACUACCACGACACCCCGAGUUCCGAGACGAAGAGUAACAAACGGAAGCUUUGGGCUAGAAAGAAGGACAAAUCGCUUAGAGGGACGAAUAAGAAACAACCACUGGUAACGACCUUCACAACUACCACAUCUGUACCUCCUACUACCAUCCCUUCGGAUAUUCCAGUUGUCCCUAACCCAGUCCGACAAUAUGCUGGAAAUCUCCCAAAUUGCAUCAAAUGCAAUUAUCACCACCAUGGUCCUUGUUGGGAGAUGUAGUGCUCAAACUGCAACAAAAAGGGGCACACCAAACGUUACUGCAAGAGCCUAUCAAGACCGAUCAACAAUUUGCCCAACGCCGAUGGGAACCAGACUUGCUAUAGUUGUGGCAAGGUAGGGCACUACAAAAGGAACUGCUCGGAGGCAGCAAAGGCUGGUACAAACGGAAUUAUACUACCGACCACCGCCGCUAGAGCCAGCCAGGGUUGCUAUCAUUGUGGUGAGUUUGGGCACUAUAAAAGAGAUUGCCCGAAAAAGGAAAGAACCCGCGUCCCCAUAACUCCUACUAAACACUUCACUUCCACCACCAAUGUGGGUGCUGUCCAUAUAUGUCACCAAUGCGGUGAAAUUGGACACCUCAAGAAGGAUUGCCCGAUAGCGAAGAACUCGAGUGCAGAUGGGAAGAUCCUUAGGAUCACAGCCGCAGGAGAGCCUACUCCUGAACCAUCGUUAAUGUAAUUUAGGCGUUUGGUUGUAACAAACUUAUAAACUAUCCGAAACUAGUGCAACUAAAGUAAUACCUUUUGGCAAGAUCCUGUCUGUAUAGGGAUUCUCGUGCUGCGUAUACUUGUCUUUUGUAGUAUACCUUAUUCGCAACAAUAGUCUAGUGGUAAAUCUGAAGUACUGUAACUCUGUUCAUGGUUGCACGGUUGUGUUUUGUCUGUAAACGUCUUAUGUUCAAAUCUAAUGUCUUUAAGUUUCAGUAUGAUUCCAACAUUAUCAUACUACUCGAUUCAAUUUGAUCCUCACAAAAACAGCUUCAUACGUACAUCUCUUUCUUCUAGAUCACUUUUCCAGCGAAGCCGUCAUAUCAGAACACCGAAGUACUCAUGCCAGGAGUACCUCUUAGUUAUUUUCUUUCCAAAGAAAUCCACGAAGUACCACUCGUGCAGUACAUCAAGUUCAAUCCAAGGAUUCAUACGAUUGAUCUAUCACUUAAGAAUGUAUACAUAAGAGUGAUAUAUAAUCAAGGCUCUACAAGUUUAGAAUUGAUAAUUCCACUUUAACUUCUUUUUCCCCGAUGGGAUGUGAGCUUAAAGAAGAAUCAGUUAUUCGACUACCUUUUCAAUCUUAAUUAUAUACGAAUCGUAUACACGAAAUUGUGAUUGUGAAACCAGGUAUGAAAUUCUAAUAUGAACUUCAGGACGGAGAACUGCCUAAGACAACGAGUAAUCGCAUCGUCAUGUGAACAAACUUAGAACCCAAUACGGCUCUUGUAAACAGAUCACCCUAUAGUCUAAACACCUACGGAGAUACCAGAACAGUACAAACAACUUAACGAACUGCACAACGAUAGAAUAAGAAGACUAGGCUCCUCACCCUGGAGAAACCCCAGUCUUAUUCUCCCAGAGAUCGACGAUUUGCAUCGUAUGUGCCUCGGAUUUCGAGGACUCCGUCAAGAUUUUUCAUUAGAAAUCGUUAUCUCUGCCGCACAUAGAUGAAAUGUUUGAGCAAAUAGAAGGAAAUAAAUUACUUUUAGAAAAGGGUUGAGAUCCGAAUAUCACCAGUCCGAGUGUUAGGGAAGGAUGUCCGGAAGACUAUCUUCCGAAUUCGAUGUGGACACUUCGAGCCCGUAGUGAUACCCUUCAGAUAGGACCAAUGCACCCAUAGCUUUCAUGAGCUUAAAUGAGUAGGGUACGUCUUUCUUACUUUGAUCAGUUCGUCAUUUCUCCAUGUAAUGACUUACUUAUCGACCCUCGUGGUAAGAAUGAACCUCUAGAAACAUUACCUUCAGAGAUACUUUUUGCAAAGUUCUAUGAACUCGAGUUUUGGAAUUGAAGAGUCAAAAUUUCCUAAAGACACACUAUUAGUGAUGUGGAAAUUCUUGAGUAUUCUGGCAAUUAUCCGAAAUCGUUGAGAGUUUGUCGGCACCGGAGACACAGACAAACAUUCGCCAAAUUCUAGAUCUAACAGACCUACUGUCAUAGUUCAUCCAUAACUCCUCGCAUAUUACAGGAACCCAUACGACUUUGACCCAACAAAGGGUGGCCCUUGACUGGGAAGUUAAACAGGAAAAAGAAACCUUGGAAAUUCCAAGUGAGAGACCAAGUUCUUUAGGGAAACUCACUCUAGGAAUGGCUUGAUACGCUUUGCAUCGCAUUGAAAGCUAAAUCCAAUAUAGAUAUGACCUCCGGGAUUCGUACCAGAAUCGGUCUUGUACCUCACACAAACUAGACCUACUCCGCGAACUCAGUAACGUACAUUGUACUCUUAGCGUCUCGAUCAUGAAACAUACUUUUCCGUUAGGACUUGUGUAAGUCCACUCGUCGAGAUCCUCGCCUUCCAAAUUAGAACCGUAGUGACCCUCGACCGAGAGGUCAAGCGGACGAAGCAUCACCACCGCCCGUUAGUGAAGGUUCGUUGGGAUACCAACCGAGAACCCGAUUUCACUUAGGAGCGCAAGAACUAAUCGAUUAAAAAGUUUCCUCCUCAUGACUUGAUCAUUCGUACCUACUUCCUUGUCUAAAUUCUAAUUUCGGGACGAAAUUCCCUUUAACGGGGGAAGAUGUGACAACCCGAAAAUUUCUAACUUGCAUCCUUCAUUCCUUAUCAAUAAUAGACUCGUUUGGCUAUCUUGUAGUACCAUUUAGGGUCUAUUGGAGCGUUCUAAACGUGUUAUAAUCAAGGUUGGAGUGUGGAAAAGGGUUAACUCAAAGUGUAGGAAUCAAAAAGAGGCCAAACACUCCAAUACAUGGAGUGUGCGGCCACACACAUGUGUUUGCGGCCUCACACCCUUCCCAACCGCACACUCCACCUAUAUAUACCAUACUUAGUCAUUUUUGAACACUUCUUUCACUUCUUCAAACAUAGAACUCGAAAAUCCUCUCAAGUAUCAUCCAUUCUCCUUGAAGAUCUUCAUAAAAGGUACCAAGAACACCAAGAACACCAUCUGGCCGCACAUAUGGCAGCAGACACCAUCUGGCAGCACACAUGGCCGCACACAGGUGCUGGCCGCACACUAGGCCGCACACCUGGCCGCACACACACAUAUAGUGUGUAUUUUGGCCAUACACCCUCUUGUAUAGCUUUAUAAACCCUCAUACAAUCAUAUAUGAUUGUAAC
rnacentral:lncRNA from 1 species